GAUGAACGCUGGCGGCGUGCUUAACACAUGCAAGUCGAACGAGAAAUGGAGACGGAAACCUUCGGGCGGAAGGCUUCAUUUCGAGUGGCGGACGGGUGAGUAACGCGUGGGUAACCUGCCUCAUACAGGGGGAUAACAGUUGGAAACGACUGUUAAUACCGCAUAAGACCACACCACCGCAUGGUGCGGGGGUAAAAACUCCGGUGGUAUGAGAUGGACCCGCGUUCGAUUAGCCAGUUGGCGGGGUAACGGCCCACCAAAGCGACGAUCGAUAGCCGAGCUGAGAGGAUGACCGGCCACAUUGGGACUGAGACACGGCCCAAACUCCUACGGGAAGCAGCAGUGGGGAAUAUUGCACCAUGGGGGAAACCCUGAUGCAGCGACGCCGCGUGAGUGAAGAAGUACUUCGGUAUGUAAAGCUCUAUCAGCAGGGAAGAAAAUGACGGUACCUGAGUAAGAAGCCCCGGCUAACUACGUG
rnacentral:rRNA from 1 species